GGCGUUGUUCAACCACAGGUGGAAAUCCUGUUUCAAAGUAAAAAUCACUUGUCAGGUAUUCAGCAAAAUGAAGAGCUUAUUGCAGACAAAGUGGAGUCAGAUAUAGACAUUCCAGAAGGGUCCUUGAUUGAGAUUAAAG